rnacentral:misc_RNA from 1 species
GAUGAAGAACGUAGCGAAAUGCGAUAAGUAAUGUGAAUUGCAGAAUUCAGUGAAUCAACGAAUCUUUGAACGCACAUUGCGCCCCUUGGUAUUCCGAGGGGCAUGCCUGUUCGAGCGUCAUUAUAACCCUCAAGCUCAGCUUGGUGUUGGGGCCUGCUGCACUGGCAGCCCUUAAAAUCAGUGGCGGCGCCAUCUGGCUCUAAGCGUAGUAAUUCUUCUCGCUAUGGAGUCCUGGUGGAUGCUUGCCAUCAACCCCCAAUUUUUCUAUGGUUGACCUCGGAUCAGGUAGGGAUACCCGCUGAACUUAAGCAUAUCAAUAAGCGGAGGA